rnacentral:lncRNA from 1 species
CUCGCGGGCCGCCUUCCCCCCCGCAGCGCGAGAGGGAGUGCGUGGGAAGGAGUUAGACAAAGCCUGAGCCCGGGAGCAGAGGCAGCGCUGCCGGGAGGGAGACGGGGACGUUCUCCCUUCCCCAUCCUCCCCCCCGGGCGAGGGUUGAGCAGAAGCCCUCCUCGUCCCCUCCGCGGAGGCAGAGGGGACCCGCACGUCCCCGUCCCUCGGGCUGGCAGCCGCGGGGUGCAGCGGGCAGCGGGGCAGCGCCGGUGGCCCCGCGGUGAUGCCCGGCGGGGAAGUGGACAUCUCCGUCACCAGGGUCUCCAGGCCACAGCCCUGUGGCCCCAGCAGCGAGAGCAGCCCCUGAGUCCCGCUUGAGGCUCAGUCGCACUGAGGGACGGCUAUUUUUGUGGACUAGCAU